ensembl:lncRNA
GGAGAUGGGUGAUAGGGAUAGGAGACGGGCGAUAGGAGACAGGUGAUAGGGAUAGGAGACGGGCGAUAGGGAUAGGAGACGGGUGAUAGGGAUAGGAGACGGGCGAUAGGAGACAGGUGAUAGGGAUAGGAGACGGGUGAUAGGGAUAGGAGACGGGCGAUAGGAGACAGGUGAUAGGGAUAGGAGACGGGCGAUAGGAGACAGGUGAUAGGGAUAGGAGACAGGUGAUAGGGAUAGGAGACAGGUGAUAGGGAUAGGAGACAGGUGAUAGGGAUAGGAGACGGGCGAUAGGGAUAGGAGACGGGCGAUAGGAGACAGGUGAUAGGGAUAGGAGACGGGUGAUAGGGAUAGGAGACGGGCGAUAGGGAUAGGAGACAGGUGAUAGGGAUAGGAGACAGGCGAUAGGGAUAGGAGACGGGUGAUAGGGAUAGGAGACGGGCGAUAGGGAUAGGAGACAGGUGAUAGGGAUAGGAGACGGGCGAUAGGGAUAGGAGACGGGUGAUAGGGAUAGGAGAC